rnacentral:misc_RNA from 1 species
GUAGGUGAACCUGCGGAAGGAUCAUUAACGAAUUUCCGGAAGUGGAUGGAGCCGCAAGGUUUCUGAAGCUUUCCUUUUUCACCCAUGCUGUCGGUCCGUUCUUGCAAAAGACGCGGCGCAUGUUUUUCCUUCGUACUAUUUCUGUCUGAAUUACAAACAACGUCAUCCGACGUUUUACAAAAGCAAAUUGAAAAACUAUGAACAACGGAUCUCUUGGCUCUU